rnacentral:rRNA from 1 species
UGGGGAAUUUUGCGCAAUGGGCUAACGCCUGACGCAGCAACGCCGCGUGGAAGAUGAAGGUCUUUGGAUUGUAAACUCCUGUCAGCAGGGAAAAAGGGAGUCGACCUAAUACGUCGGUGACUUGAUUGUACCUGCAGAGGAAGCCCCGGCUAACUCUGUGCCAGCAGCCGCGGUAAUACAGAGGGGGCAAGCGUUAUUCGGAAUUAUUGGGCGUAAAGGGCGCGUAGGCGGCCUUAUAAGUCUUGUGUGAAAGCCCUCGGCUUAACUGAGGAUCUGCACGGGAUACUGUAAGGCUCGAGUUCGGGAGAGGAAAGCGGAAUUCCGGGUGUAGCGGUGAAAUGCGUAGAUAUCCGGAGGAACACCAGUGGCGAAGGCGGCUUUCUGGACCGACACUGACGCUGAGGCGCGAAAGCUAGGGGAGCAAA